rnacentral:miRNA from 1 species
GGCAUUGAUAUGUGGGUUGG